ensembl:snRNA U2 U2 spliceosomal RNA
AGAACUUCUCGGCUCCUUGGAGCUAAGAUCAAGUAUAGUACCUAUCCUUAUCAGUUUAAUUUCUUUUGAUGGACACCUGCAACAUCUGCUCUGAAGAUGGAUUCUGUUGUUGCUAUUUUUGAAAAAAUUGAUGAUGCUUUGAAGAUGUAUUCUGCUGCUGCUACUUUGAAAGAAAAUCCU